CCGGUCUAGCUCAAUUGGUAGAGCAACUGACUUGUAAUCAGUAGGUUGGGGGUUCAAGUCCUCUGGCCGGCACCAC
rnacentral:tRNA from 1 species